UACAGAGGUCCCAAGCGUUGUUCGGAUUCACUGGGCGUAAAGGGUGCGUAGGCGGCGGGGAAAGUUCUAGGUGAAAUCUCCAGGCUCAACUUGGAAAAUGCAUCGAAAACUUCCUCGCUCGAGGGCUGCAGAGGAGAUUGGAAUUCUCGGUGUAGCAGUGAAAUGCGUAGAUAUCGAGAGGAACAUCAGUGGCGAAAGCGAAUCGCUGGGCAACAACUGACGCUGAGGCACGAAAGCCAGGGGAGCAAACGGG
rnacentral:rRNA from 1 species